CCGCCGCGCGCGGCCGAUCGCACGACGUGACCACCGCUCGCCACAGAGGACAAAUUCCAUUUCGCCCCCCGGCAAAACUUUGAACCCGGUGGGGAUCGCGGCAGGGCAGCGGCAGCCACGGAGAAGAAGAGAGAGGAAUCCACGGCUCGCCCGUGAUCAUCCGACGGCCGCCCUCCACCAGCCGCCCAAGAGGGGGAGCCCACAGCGAAAAUAUUACGAGUCGCACGGCCCGCGCCGCGCGCGGGGUGUCGGUCAUGGUGCCCCCACGCCCCCGCGGUUGGCGCCGCCGCCGCCGCCGCCCACCGCCGCCCGCGUGCACCCACCGCCACCUGUUGCCGCCUAAGGGGAACGCCUCCGUUAUAACCCACCGCACCAUGCCGUCCUCCACCACCGCGUCCCCAUCCACGCCAGGUCCACCCCCGCCAUGGCCUCCCCUUCCCCUUCUCCCCCCGCCCCCGCCUCCGGCCGCCGCGUGCCGCCCCCGUGCUGGACGCCCGAAGAGACCCUCGCCGUCGCCCGGGCCUACACGGCGCGCCGCCUCGCCGUCGGCCGGGAGCACCUGACCUCCGCCGACUGGGCCGCCGUGGCCACGGCCGCCCCGUCCAAGACCGCCAGGCAGUGCCGCCACAAGGUUGAGAAGCUCCGCCGCCGCCUCCGAUCGAGCCGCCGCCGCCCCUGCCCGCUUCUCGACGCCAUCGAUCUCCUCGACGGACCUUCCCCGCCCUUCUUCUCCAAGUCGCAGUCCCAGUCCCCCUCCCUGUCCCCAUCGCCACCGCCGGCAGUUUCUCCGCCGUCUCCCCCUUCCCCUCCCGCCUCCCCGCCCAGGAAGAGGAGGCGGGGCGAUGCCGGGGACGAGGAUGGACUGAGCGACGUGGUGGGGGCGCUGAGGGCCAUCGGAGAGGGGUUUCUGCGGGCGGAGGAGAGGAGGAUGGAGGCCGCCAGGGAGACGCAGAGGAUGCGCAUGGAGAUGGCGCUCCGGCACCUUGAUGCGCAGCGGAGGCUCAUGGACGCGUUCGUGGGUCGCAUCGUCGACGCCUUGGAGUAAAGUGGUGGCGCAAAGCUGAUUUGCUGCAGAUGAAGGCACCACUUACAUAUGAUCUAGGACCACCAUCAUAGUAUGUGGUCCCUUCGUAUGCUGGCAUCCACUCCUUUAGCUAACUGUGCUGUUCGACAAUUGGGCUACCACUUGAGAUUAGCAUCAACAAAUGAAAACUGAGAGUAUGUAGAGUGCACCCCAUAGCAUACAUAGAAGACUAUGAUCACAAGGCUCCAGAUGCUGAACCUCUGAUAGGACCUCAUCUUGAGGGUGGUUAUCAGGAACACGUUCAGGAAGACAGAUGCAGCAGCAGGCCACGGCAUCAGAGGGACCGACCACUCUGAUGGUGGUCCAGCGAUGUCCUGCCGUGCUGUGCAAUGGAAGAUUGCGGUGAUUGCUAUGGAGAUGGCCCCGAACAAUGCCAUCCCCCAUCUGCACCACCCGUCGAUCUUCCUCGAGAGGGAGAAGCCGAGAGAACUCAGCGUGAGUAGCAGCAGGAAGAGGAGGACAUGGAGCGGGCGGUUCACGCCGACCUUCACAUACCGGUGGUAGAUGAGUGCGUUGGCCACUAGGUAGAAGACCAGCAGUGUCCCGAUUGAUAUCAUCUCAAACACUAUCUGCAGCUCCGUGAAGAGUGCUAAUGAUGCAGUGCAGAAGCCUGGGCAACGAAAGUGCUUGACGGUUAACUAGAAAGUACUGCGAAAAAAAUAGAUGCUGGCUAGUGGAUUGGAAUGUAUUUGUUGGACGUAAUCUGCUUUAUCUUGUGAUACAUCUAUGAACGUGAAUAUACCGUUGUUGAGAUUUUACAUUCACAAGACCUUGAUCUCAUUAAAGUUACAUGUACUGAUCUUAAA